rnacentral:rRNA from 1 species
UCCUGACUGACCGAUAGUGAACCAGUACCGUGAGGGAAAGGCGAAAAGAACCCCGGCGAGGGGAGUGAAAAAGAACCUGAAACCGUGUACGUACAAGCAGUGGGAGCACGCUUAGGCGUGUGACUGCGUACCUUUUGUAUAAUGGGUCAGCGACUUAUAUUCUGUAGCAAGGUUAACCGAAUAGGGGAGCCGAAGGGAAACCGAGUCUUAACUGGGCGUUAAGUUGCAGGGUAUAGACCCGAAACCCGGUGAUCUAGCCAUGGGCAGGUUGAAGGUUGGGUAACACUAACUGGAGGACCGAACCGACUAAUGUUGAAAAAUUAGCGGAUGACUUGUGGCUGGGGGUGAAAGGCCAAUCAAACCGGGAGAUAGCUGGUUCUCCCCGAAAGCUAUUUAGGUAGCGCCUCGUGAAUUCAUCUCCGGGGGUAGAGCACUGUUUCGGCAAGGGGGUCAUCCCGACUUACCAACCCG